CCUAAACGAUCAAUUGCUUCGUCUUUCUUACUAACAGAUGUACUUAUCACAGUAACUUUGGUUCCAAACGCCUUAGCAAAUUUCACAGCCAUAUGUCCCAAACCACCCAGACCAACAACACCAAUGUGCAUUCCGGGCUUGUCAAGUCCAAAAUAUCUCAAUGGACUAUAAGUUGUGAUCCCUGCACAUAACAGGGGAGCUGCUUCCAUUGGUAAAUUUUCGGGCCAAUGGACCACAUAGUGCUCGUUGGUUACCAUUAUAUCGGAGUAACCACCAUACGUGGGGAUUCCAUCGGUGUAAACACCAUUGUAUGUCAUGAUCUGAUCACGACAGUAAUUUUCAAGAUUGUUGUCACAAUUUUCACAUUUUCUACAUGAUCCUACUAAACAUCCAACUCCAACUUUGUCUCCAAUUUUGAAUUUCUCAACUUUGCUACCAAUUUCAGUUACUACACCAACAACUUCAUGCCUGUAACGUACAACAACAUAUUCAGUAUAAUCUCACAAAUCGAGUCAGAAGAGGAUAAAAUGUAAGCAGAAUUUACCACUACUUAGGAAACCUAAGCUAAUAAUCCGAUUUAGUUAUGGAUUUUAGUUGUUUACCAACAUAUUUCCUCAUGGCAAAGUUUUCUAGUAAACUUCUUGAUGAUCAAAUUUAGAGUUUCAUAGUCCAAACAAUUACCCAAACUAACUACAUGUAUAUUGCAAUGAUUAUAUUGUUCAAAUUCUGGCUUCGCCUCUGUAAUAAGAUACAUAUAUUACAAUUAUAAGAAUACUUUUUUUUGAAAUUUGGUGAAUAAUAAGUCCGUUUAUCUACCAUUUUUCACUUAAAUUAAACUAUACAUAACGGCUUUAGUCUACGAAGGGUUAUAAUAAAAGAACAUAGUAAAAGAUGGAUCAAAAUGAAACUUACCCUGGUACCAUUGGAUAUAUACUAUUGCUCCAUUCAUUCUUGAGUUGAUGAAGAUCAGAAUGACAAAUUCCACAAUACAUAACUUUGAAUUGCACAUCUUUUUCACCAGUCACCCUUCAUCAUUCAACAAGAAAAGUUACAGAUAUAUAUAUACUGUUCGGUCAACUAGUUUAUCAAUAUGUUCGAAAUUAAUAUACACAAUAUAUACACUAUCAGUGUAGAUAUGUUGUGUAUAUCUAAUUCAUAUAAAAUAUACACUAUUUGUACUGUCAGUUUAUAUAACGUAAAUCUGAAAAGAUGGUACCUUCUUGAGAAGUUGAAAGGAGAAAGUACCCCAGAAGUAUCUCUAGCUGCCCAUCCAAAUGCCUUAACAUUUUCAUGUGAUUUUUCCAUUUUCUUGAUUUUUGUUUUUUUUGGAGAUACUAUUAUUAUUAUUAUUAUUAGAACAAUUAAUUUGAGUAAAGUUAUAGUCCAAUGUAUUGAUUUUUUUCAUUUGAAUAUAUAGGUAUUUGAGUUGAUGGCUAAUGACGUAGUCGAUGAGGUAUGAAACAAAUGUUAUCGUCAUGGCUUGUCUGUACAAUUUGCCUUUUUAUUAGUAUAAGAUAAUAUUAUAUCUUAUAUUAUAUGAUGUUUCUAGGAAAAUGGUUCAGUAGUACGUGACCAAGGUCUAGCCGCUAAUUUUAAUCUAAAAAAAUUGUCUUUAUAUUAUUUAAAAACUGUGUAGACUGUAGUGACAUGCUUAGUAGAAAUUGGUUUCAAUGAAAUGUUUUAAUAUGAUUGUAUGGAAUCAUAAAAGAUUUUGAAAAAAUAAAGAAAAAACUCAACUUUAUUUGGUUUGAUUUAUGAAUAUAUAAAACAAAUGCAAUUGGUUUGAUUUGGUAAAUGAUGAAUCCGAAUCAAUUGGUCUAUGUAUAUCCCCUCAACAGAAUCCAGUACUUUUGAUUAUGAAUCAGAUCAUAUAUAUAUGUUCGAAAAUUAACUUUAUAUAUAGAUUAUAUUCAAUUUUUCGUGUGUAUUAGCUUAUGGAUCUAGCGUUUUUGGACACCCAAAUUUAUUUAUCAAGAAAAAUUGUAUGAGAAGCUCCGUAAUGAGUCGGGAAAGCGUUACGUAUAGUCCCGUCGUUUUUUUCACGCAUAUUUUCGCAUUUACGAGUCAACUUUUAGGAAUUACCCGAUUUUCUUGAUUUUUCAUGUGUAUUAGCCCAUGGAUCUGACGCAUUUAGGGCACCAAAAAUUUUUUCCUGAAAAAACUAUAUGAAGACCUCUGUUAUGAGUUGGAGAAGCAUUACGUGUAGUCCCGCCAUUUAUUUCAUGCAUAUUUUCGCAUUUAUGAUCCAACUUUUAGGAAUCAACAAACUUUUUUAGUUUUUCGAGUGUAUUAGUCCAUGGAUCUAGCGCCUUUGGGACAUUCAUAAUUUUUUUCUAAAAAACUAUAUGAGGACCUCCGUAAUGAGUUGGGAAAUCAUUAUGUAUAGUCCCGUCGUUUUUUCACUCAUAUUUUCAGAUUUAGGAGCCAAUUUUUAAAAUUACCCGACUUUCUUGAUUUUUCGUGUGUAUUAACCGAUGGAUCUGUCGCCUUUUGGGCACCCAAAAAUGUUUUCUAAAAAAAUUAUAUGAGGACCUUCGUAAUGAGUUUGGGAAGCAUUGCAUAUAGUCCCACCAAUUUUUUCACGCAUAUAUUUGCAUCUACAAGUCAACUUUUAGGAAUUACCCUAUUUUUUUUAUUUUUCGUGUGUAUUAGCUCAUGGAUCGCGCCUUUGGGCAUCCCGAAUUUUUUUUAUCAAAACUAUAUGAGGACCUCCGUAAUGAAUUGGGAAAGCAUUACAUAUAGUCCCGCCGUUUUUUUCACACACAUUUUUUAAUUUUCGUAUGUAUUAACUCAUGAAUAUAGCGUCUUUGGGCGUCCCAAAAUAUCACGUGGAAUGCUAUAAUUUAAUAAGUGAAAAACACAAUAAUCUGAAAAAGAUUUUGUAGUUAAGGGAGCAUGUACGAUUAAGCUAUCGAAAAUGAUGAUUGCCUCACUUUAAUAUCGUUCCAUAAUAAUUAAUUAGGAUAUAUGGUUGGUGAUUACCUUUCCAGUAUAGCCAUCAGAAAAGAUGGUGAACAAUAAUUUGAAAAAAAUAAUUAUAAAUUGUGUGUGCUUGGUGCGACAGAAAAAUAUUUUCUAAUUUUUUUACGUUUGAUUGGUCGAAUAUUUUUGAAAAAUACUUUUUAUAAAAUCAUUAAAAAUCAGGAGAAUAAAUUUCUGAUACGAUGUAAAAAAUAAAUUUCAUAAGUAACAUUUCAGCUAGAUUAUUUUCUUCCCACCCCACCCAACUCAACCACCAAAUCUCACCCUUGAUCCUACUAUUUUGUUUGCUUUUGAAUAUUCACAAAUUUGCAAAAAGAAUAAGAAUCUAAUAUUUUGAUCAAGUUAAUUUCAAUCAAAAUACUAAAAAGAAAGUCAAAGUUUAGGGGGGUCUAGUCAAAAAAUCGGACAUCAUCCAUUCAAUUAAAAGGAUUAAAUACAAAAUUUAUCUUUAAGUUUACCUUAUUCUGAUCGUUUGGGGACCAUUGCGGAGUCACUACGUGUAAAGGAGAAUAAUAAAUACAACAUCGACCCUACCACUUGAGAACAAUAUUUCAAUUCAUUAUAAUUGGGGAUAAAAGCUGUCGGUUCAUUUUAUUUUUUUUCAAAUAUAACUUAGUAUAAGUCAUUUAUUUGUUUAGAUUGAUGAAGAAGGAAAUAAUAUGGUUAGGUCAAUUCAGAAAAAAAAAAAAAAAAAAAAGCAAAAAAAAAAAAGACAUGACUAUUUGAAAUAUCUAGUUGUUUAAACAAAAAAUAUCCUCUUUAAAUAGUGUUUUUGUUUUCUUUAAAUAGGAAAAUACAUGACUAUUUUGAUUAAUUGAAUGUUAAACGUGCUUUAGUAAAUAUCUCAAGACCGAAAUCAGAAUAUACCUAUAGUUUAUGGACCGAAAAUGCUCUUAUUCCUACUUUAUAAAAGAAUUUAAGUUAUGACAUCAACAAGGAUUGUGAUAGAGUAUUGGUAAGUACUUAUUUAUUUUUAAUCAAAGGUCUCGGAUUCAAGUCUCCGAUCUGAUUACAAAGUAGCCUUUGUUAGAAAGAAUGUUGGAUUUUCCGGCGUGAACGUGGAUUUUCAAACUUGUCUCAUCUCCUUACUCGAGAAAUCUAUGAUAGCUCUGUAAACUAAUAACUUAUAAUAGACGAGCCCAAUAUCUUUAUGUAUGUUCCGAACUUGUUUUUGGUACAAGAGGAGGGGCGAAAAAUUCUAGUUAUAGUUCUUCUUCUGCCUAAUCUUUAGUACCGCUUUGAGAUUUAAUCUUUAGAACCAUGUGCCUAAGAGGGUGAGGGCCUUUAUAGCCAUAAUUCUUCCCCCGGUUCUACGUCAAAACUCAAAAGCAAGUCUUUUUUAUUGCCCCACUUACCUUUUCUAAAAGCACUUCGGGUCGGAGGUUGGUUGUAAAGUAAAGGAUGGUGUGCUUUUGAAUUAGUUUAUUUUGAUAGAAAAACGAACCAGAAUUAAUCCUAGGUCGUAUUGUUUUUCAAUUGUCCGAUGGUUGGGCCCCAAAACAGAUAUCAAAGACUAGAUGGAAAACCAAAAAAAAAAAAGUUAUUUACGAAAUUUUAUUAUCAUGUCAUAUAAAAUAGAACAUAAGAGUAGUAGAAAGAAUGUUUAGUAAUUCCCACACAAACUCACACCAUUCUUUCUUUCUUAAAAUACAAACACACAACAAGAACAACAUGUCCCUAUAUUAACUCUUCUUCAAAGUAUUGCCAAUGUCAAGAACAAAACGAUACUUAACAUCCGAUUUCACGAGACGUUCCACCGCUGUAUUCACGUACUCCAUUGGCACAACUUCAACAUCUGGUGUUAUGUUAUGCUUCUCCGCGAAGUUUACCAUCUCUUGUAUCUCUUUCACCCCUCCUAUCGCGCUCCCUCCCACUAGCUUCCGUCCUGUUUUCCACAUUAUAUACUUGAGUUAUUAACUAAAUCAAACGGACAUGUUAGAACUUAAAUGAAGAAUAAGAUACUACGCGAAAUGUACCUGAAAGCAAUGGAAAUACAGGCAACUCUAGUGGUUUUUCAGGGGCACCAACCAUCACUAGCUUCCCAUUAGUUUUCAACAAAUUAAGCAAUGGAAAAAUAGGAUGAACCGCAGAAACAGUGUCAAUGAUUCCAUCAAGUGAACCCCCUGCAGCCUGCUCGUAUUUACACGUGACGAAAAUUCGUACUUAUGUCACAUGAAUAUCAUUGUAAAUUUGUGAUUGAAGCUAAGUUGAUUGAUCGACUGACCUGCAUUUGUUCAGGAUCACGACUAACCAAAAAUGAGUCUGCUCCUAAACGCUCAAUUGCCUCGUUUUUUUUACUAAGAGAUGUACUAAUGACAGUAACUUUGGUUCCAAACGCCUUGGCGAAUUUCACAGCCAUAUGUCCAAGUCCACCCAAACCAACAACACCAAUGUGCAUUCCAGGUUUAUCUAGUCCGUAAUAUCUCAAAGGGCUAUAAGUUGUGACCCCUGCACAUAACAGGGGAGCUGCACAUAUCAGGCCAACAAACGAUAAAAUGCUCGUUGACAACCAUGAGAUCGGAGUAACCACCGUGAGUGAUGGUUCCAUCAGAGUGAUUACCAUUGGCUGUCAAUACCUGUCCAGGACAGUAAUUCUCAAGGUCGUUGGUACAAUUUUCACAUUCGUUACAUGAUCCUACUAGAUAUCCAACGCCUAUUUUGUCUCCAAUUUUGAACUUGUCUACCUUGUUACCAACCUCAGUUACCACUCCUACAAUUUC
rnacentral:lncRNA from 1 species